GGCUUGUAUUUCGACUGAAACUAAUGGCCCAAGACCACAAUUAAUGACCCUACUUUUCGUUGUUCACGAAUAUAGUUCCCUUUAAUUAAAGUGUAUUUUUUCUUUAUAUUUUUUCUUUGCCUUUUUCAUUCAUUUGUUAGUUUUUAUGGGGUGGAAAUGAAAGAAGAGAGGUGAAAUAACUUUUUGUUGAAGGUAUUUUAACU
rnacentral:lncRNA from 1 species